rnacentral:tRNA from 1 species
AGUUAAUGAGCUUGAAUAGCAAUUGUUUUGAAAACAAUAGAUAAAAUAUAAUAAUUUUAUUAACUU